rnacentral:tRNA from 1 species
UUGCAUUAGAAUUAGAAUCUAACUAUACUAACAUUCCCCUAAUUAAUAUAAUUUUAACAAUU